AACUAACAAGGAUUCCCCUAGUAACUGCGAGUGAAGCGGGAAAAGCUCAAAUUUAAAAUCUGGCAGUCUUUGGCUGUCCGAGUUGUAAUCUAGAGAAGUAUUAUCCGCGCUGGACCGUGUACAAGUCUCCUGGAAUGGAGCGUCAUAGAGGGUGAGAAUCCCGUCUUUGACACGGACUGCCAGGGCUUUGUGAUGUGCUCUCAAAGAGUCGAGUUGUUUGGGAAUGCAGCUCAAAAUGGGUGGUAAAUUCCAUCUAAAGCUAAAUAUUGGCGAGAGACCGAUAGCGAACAAGUACCGUGAGGGAAAGAUGAAAAGAACUUUGGAAAGAGAGUUAAACAGUACGUGAAAUUGCUGAAAGGGAAACGCUUGAAGUCAGUCGCGUUGGCCAGGGAUCAACCUUGCUUUUUUGCUUGGCUUACUUUCUGGUUGAUGGGUCAGCAUCAAUUUUGACUGGUGGAAAAAGUUCAAGGGAAUGUGGCAUCUUCUGAUGUGUUAUAGCCUUUGUUCGCAUACAUCGGUUGGGAUUGAGGAACUCAGCACGCCGCAAGGCCGGGUUUUUAACCACGUACGUGCUUAGGAUGCUGGCAUAAUGGCUUUAAUCGACCCGUCUUGAAACACGGACCAAGGAGUCUAACAUGCCUGCGAGUGUUUGGGUGAAAAACUCGAGCGCGUAAUGAAAGUGAAAGUUGAGAUCCCUGUCAUGGGGAGCAUUGACGCCCGGAUCUGACCUUUUGUGACGAUUCUGCGGUAGAGCAUGUAUGUUGGGACCCGAAAGAUGGUGAACUAUGCCUGAAUAGGGUGAAGCCAGAGGAAACUCUGGUGGAGGCUCGUAGCGAUUCUGACGUGCAAAUCGAUCGUCAAAUUUGGGUAUAGGGGCGAAAGACUAAUCGAACCAUC
rnacentral:rRNA from 1 species